rnacentral:rRNA from 1 species
GACGAACGCUGGCGGCGUGCUUAACACAUGCAAGUCGAACGGAAAGGCCCUGCUUUUGUGGGGUGCUCGAGUGGCGAACGGGUGAGUAACACGUGAGUAACCUGCCCUUGACUUUGGGAUAACUUCAGGAAACUGGGGCUAAUACCGGAUAGGAGCUCCUGCUGCAUGGUGGGGGUUGGAAAGUUUCGGCGGUUGGGGAUGGACUCGCGGCUUAUCAGCUUGUUGGUGGGGUAGUGGCUUACCAAGGCUUUGACGGGUAGCCGGCCUGAGAGGGUGACCGGCCACAUUGGGACUGAGAUACGGCGCAGUCUCCUACGGGAGGCAGCAGUGGGGAAUAUUGCACAAUGGGCGGAAGCCUGAUGCAGCAACGCCGCGUGCGGGAUGACGGCCUUCGGGUUGUAAACCGCUUUCGCCUGUGACGAAGCGUGAGUGACGGUAAUGGGUAAAGAAGCACCGGCUAACUACGUG